AGGACGAACGCUGGCGGCGUGCUUAACACAUGCAAGUCAAGGGGGGAGUCGCAAGACUCAACCGGCGAACGGGUGCGUAACACGUGAGCGACCUACCUAAUUGUGGGGGAUAGCCGGCCCAACGGCCGGGUAAUACCGCAUACGACCGGAGAGGGGCAUCCCUUUCCGAGGAAAGCCUUCGGGCGCAAUUCGAGGGGCUCGCGGCCUAUCAGCUAGUUGGCGGGGUAACGCCCACAAGGCAACGACGGGUAGCUGGUCUGAGAGGAUGGCCAGCCACAUUGGGACUGAGAUACGGCCAGACUCCUACGGGAGGCAGCAGUAGGGGAAUAUUGCGCAAGUGCCGAAAGGCUGACGCAGCGACGCCGCGUGGCGGGAUGACGCCCGUUCGGGGUCGUAAACCGCGUGUUGCCCGGGACGGAAGUGGGCGGUACGUAAACCCGGUUUGACCGGUACCGGUGAGGACGCGACCGGCUAACGUCGUCG
rnacentral:rRNA from 1 species